rfam:Ornithorhynchus anatinus chromosome 7, whole genome shotgun sequence.
CCCUUCUCAGGGUCGCAUCUGGAGAGUUUCCAGUAUUCUACCAGUCAUGGCUAUGGGAGGGAGAGUCAAGCAGAGGCUUACUCAUUCCACUCCUAGCAUGGGCAAUUGCUAGCAAGUGAAAGGCAAUCUGCUACAAGU